rnacentral:rRNA from 2 species
UGAGGAAUAUUGGACAAUGGGUGAGAGCCUGAUCCAGCCAUCCCGCGUGAAGGACGACGGCCCUAUGGGUUGUAAACUUCUUUUGUAUAGGGAUAAACCUACCCUCGUGAGGGUAGCUGAAGGUACUAUACGAAUAAGCACCGACUAACUCCGUGCCAGCAGCCGCGGUAAUACGGAGGGUGCAAGCGUUAUCCGGAUUUAUUGGGUUUAAAGGGUCCGUAGGCGGAUCUGUAAGUCAGUGGUGAAAUCUCACAGCUUAACUGUGAAACUGCCAUUGAUACUGCAGGUCUUGAGUGUUGUUGAAGUAGCUGGAAUAAGUAGUGUAGCGGUGAAAUGCAUAGAUAUUACUUAGAACACCAAUUGCGAAGGCAGGUUACUAAGCAACAACUGACGCUGAUGGACGAAAGCGUGGGGAGCGAACAGG